UACAGAGGGGGCAAGCGUUGUUCGGAAUUACUGGGCGUAAAGGGCGCGUAGGCGGCCUUCUAAGUCGAACGUGAAAUCCCCAGGCUCAACCCGGGAACUGCGUCCGAUACUGGAAGGCUUGAAUCCGGGAGAGGGAUGCGGAAUUCCAGGUGUAGCGGUGAAAUGCGUAGAUAUCUGGAGGAACACCGGUGGCGAAGGCGGCAUCCUGGACCGGCAUUGACGCUGAGGCGCGAAAGCCAGGGGAGCAAACGGG
rnacentral:rRNA from 1 species